rnacentral:rRNA from 1 species
GACGAACGCUGGCGGCGUGCUUAACACAUGCAAGUCGAACGGAAAGGCCCUGCUUUUGUGGGGUGCUCGAGUGGCGAACGGGUGAGUAACACGUGAGUAACCUGCCCUUGACUUUGGGAUAACUUCAGGAAACUGGGGCUAAUACCGGAUAGGAGCUCCUGCCGCAUGGUGGGGGUUGGAAAGUUUCGGCGGUUGGGGAUGGACUCGCGGCUUAUCAGCUUGUUGGUGGGGUAGUGGCUUACCAAGGCUUUGACGGGUAGCCGGCCUGAGAGGGUGACCGGCCACAUUGGGACUGAGAUACGGCCCAGACUCCUACGGGAGGCAUCAGUGGGGAAUAUUGCACAAUGGGCGGAAGCCUGAUGCAGCAACGCCGCGUGCGGGAUGACGGCCUUCGGGUUGUAAACCGCUUUCGCCUGUGACGAAGCGUGAGUGACGGUAAUGGGUAAAGAAGCACCGGCUAACUACGUG